CUUGUAAAUGCUUUGUAAACCAUAUCUUGUAAAUGUCUUAGAUGAGACACAAAUUGAAUUAUGAGUACUCAAUGCUCAAGAGCGUUCUCCUUUGCAUCCGAGAUCUUGCAUUUUCAAUUUUAGCUCGAGUGCUCAAAACAACAAAACAAAAAACUUUUGUAUAAGUUGAAAUUUUUGUUUAGGGUGCUGGCGGCCCCCGCCAAUAUGAGGGAGGUGGGUGGGGAAAGCUGGAUUGCUUCUUUGUUCGCCGCUGACACAACAAAGAAGCAAUGACGGAUUGCCUCACGUGCCCUCUCGUGAUGCUAAAAUUGAACCAAACAUCAAAGUGAGAGAAAGCAGUGAUGGAGAUUUCGGGGUGGAAGCACUUUUGCCAAAAUGGGUUACUGUCCAAAAACACAGAGUCAUAUUCCUUUUGGCUUUGAUAUGCCACUCUCUCUGUCAUGGGGCAUCAGAUCAGAUCACACUUCCACCACAUCCCAAUCCAAAGUACCGUCAAAUGCUUUUUUGCAUCAACACCCAAAACCCAACAACAAAAACUGCUUUUUUUUUUACACCAUUUUCAUGAUUCAACUAACCAUGCAGGAGGGACAUCAUUAUGCCAACCAUGUAAAUGCUUUGGUAGACCCCCCCUGCAUUUGCAUUUCAUGGGACCUCUGUUUUUGAUUUGGGAAUAAAAUAUGCCUGCCAUUUAGAGGUGCAUGAGUGACAGGUUUCUGUUGUAACCAA
rnacentral:lncRNA from 1 species